UACGGGGGGGGCAAGCGUUGUUCGGAAUUACUGGGCGUAAAGGGCUCGUAGGCGGCCAACUAAGUCAGACGUGAAAUCCCUCGGCUUAACCGGGGAACUGCGUCUGAUACUGGAUGGCUUGAGGUUGGGAGAGGGAUACGGAAUUCCUGGUGUAGCAGUGAAAUGCGUAGAUAUCAGGAGGAAUACCGAUGGCGAAGGCAGGUCUCUGGGCUGACACUGACGCUCAUGCACGAAAGCGUGGGGAGCAAACAGG
rnacentral:rRNA from 1 species